rnacentral:misc_RNA from 1 species
CAGCCAUCUGGCUGACUGC